GGUCGCAAGCGCAGCAUCGCCUCUCGGAUUGCAGAGGCCAUGGCGUCGAGGGGUAAUGAGCCUCUUAAUGCAGCUCAGCGGCCGCAGGAAAUCGUCCAAGAAAGUCGAGGGUUGAGAGAGUAAUUUUAGCACGGUUUUAGGCAGAUGAAGCAAGCCCAACGCUGGAGCUCCAUCUGCGGGAACAAAGAGACUAAAGUUGAGCCUUCGACGUUGACAGUCGAGAGAAUCUACAACCAUUCUCACGAGGUAAGAAAAAUCUAGGAACCAUUGAGAGACAGCGAACGUUGUCAUCGCGUUUGACACGGCCUCACCAAGUGCAGUGCUGGAGUUGGGCAUGAACAAGCCCGAGUUCACCGCCGUGGUUGUCAUAGCUGACAAGGGUGACACCCUCAAGGCCUCGUACUCGCACGUCGUGAGCCCGUUCACGAGGACCACCAUUGGAACCGAGAUAUCCCACAAGCUGUCCACCAAGGACACCGUCUCCAUCGGUGGCUGGACGCGCUGACGACGAUCAAGGCCCGGUUGAAACCAAGUCCGUUAUCUCGAUGUCGGGCGAAGUGGACACGAAGGCGCUCGACAAAAGCGCCAAGCUCGGCCUGGCGCUAACGCAUGUAAAUUCGACAGCUUAAAAUUUAAAUAAGUUCCUGUGACAA